GACGAACGCUGGCGGCGUGCUUAACACAUGCAAGUCGAACGGAGUGGCGAACGGGCGAGUAACACGUGGGUGACCUGCCCUGCACUUCGGGGUAAGCCUUGGUAACUGGGUCUAAUACUGGAUAGUGUGGGAUGGGCCCGGGGCCUAUCAGCUUGUUGGUGGGGUAAUGGCCCACCAAGGCGGCGACGGGUAGCCGGCCUGGGAGGGUGGACGGCCUCAAUGGGCCUACGGGAGGGACCAGAGUCGAACGGGGGGCAGCAGGGGCGAGUCUUGCGCAGUGAGGGGGCGCCUAAUGAAGAGGCGCCGGGGGGGGGAUGACGGCCUUCGGGGUAGAAAGUCCUUUAGCCAUAGACGCGGUAGUUGGAGAAGAAGCACCGGCUAACUACGUGCCAGCAGCCGCGGUAAUAC
rnacentral:rRNA from 1 species